rnacentral:sRNA from 1 species
UAGUCCUGACCGGCAACCUGGAGGCCAAC